UUCAUGACUGGGGUGAAGUCGUAACAAGGUAACCGUAGGGGAACCUGCGGUUGGAUCACCUCCUUA
rnacentral:rRNA from 14 species